rnacentral:rRNA from 1 species
UACGGGGGGAGCAAGCGUUGUUCGGAUUUACUGGGCGUAAAGGGCGCGUAGGCGGCCACCGCAAGUCGACUGUGAAAUCUCCGGGCUUAACCCGGAAAGGUCAGCCGAUACUGCGGGGCUAGAGUGCAGAAGGGGCAACUGGAAUUCUCGGUGUAGCGGUGAAUGCGUAGAUAUCGAGAGGAACACCUGCGGCGAAGGCGGGUUGCUGGGCUGACACGUGACGCUGGAUGCGCGAAAGCUAGGGGAGCGAACGGG